UUUAAUUGAAGAGUUUGAUCAUGGCUCAGAUUAAACGCUGGCGGCAGGCCUAACACAUGCAAGUCGAGCGGCAGGCGGAAGGAAGAUUGCUUCCUUGCCGGCGAGCGGCGGACAGGUGAGUAAGGUAUGGGAAUCUGGCCGAAGGCGGGGGGAUAACCACUGGAAACGGUGGCUAAUACCGCAUAAUCUCUAAGGAGCAAAGCGGGGGACCAUUCUGGCCUCACACCUUCGGAUGA
rnacentral:rRNA from 1 species